rnacentral:rRNA from 1 species
AAUUGGAGGGCAAGUCUGGUGCCAGCAGCCGCGGUAAUUCCAGCUCCAAUAGCGUAUAUUAAAGUUGUUGCAGUUAAAAAGCUCGUAGUUGAAUUUCGGGAUCAGCAGGUUGGUCGUGCCACUGGUAUGUACUGGCCUUGCUGAUUCCUCCCUCUUGAUGAGCCGUAAUGCCAUUAAUUUGGUGUUGCGGGGAAUCAGGACUGUUACUUUGAAAAAAUUAGAGUGUUUAAAGCAGGCAUGCGCUUGAAUACAUUAGCAUGGAAUAAUGAAAUAGGACGUUCGAUCCUAUUUUGUUGGUUUCUAGGAUUGACGUAAUGAUUAAUAGGGAUAGUUGGGGGCAUUAGUAUUCAAUUGUCAGAGGUGAAAUUCUUGGAUUUAUUGAAGACUAACUACUGCGAAAGCAUUUGCCAAGGAUGUUUUCAUUAAUCAAGAACGAAAGUUAGGGGAUCGAAGACGAUCAGAUACCGUCGUAGUCUUAACCAUAAACUAUGCCGACUAGGGAUCGGAUGAUGUUAAUUUUUUAAUGACUCAUUCGGCGCCUUACGGGAAACCAAAGUGU